UUAUAAAAAUAAAUAUAUAAUAAUAUAUAAAUUAUUUAUUAUAUAAACAACAAACACAAAUAUGCAGAAAAUUUGUGUUUGUUGUGUUGUGGUUCAUAACCCUGUCGUAAAAGUUUGACUCUAGCUUUAUAAAUUGUGGCUCUAUUUUUUUACAUGCAUUGGGGGGGCAGUGAAUAAAUUUACACAACUUUUUAGGUGUAGAAGUUAGCUUAGUUUUGGAAAAAAUUGUGCCAGCAUCCGCGGUUACACUCUUAAGAUAAACAAUUUUAUUUGUUAAAAUAUUGUUUUCGUUCAUAAUUUAAACAUUUAAAUAAUAACUAUUAGGUGAAAUUAUAUUUAUUUAAAUUAAUUUUAAAGUUAACAAUUUAAAUUUUGAAAAAACCUGGAUUAGAUACCCAGCUAUGUUAAUUAUAAAAGGUUAAAGUAGUAUUAUUUAAAAACUUAAAGAGUUUGGCGGUUUCCAAUCAUUCCAGAGGAACCUGCUCUAUAAACGACAAUACACGAUAAAUUUACUUUUUCUUUGCUUAUAUAUCGUUGUCAGAAAAUUUAAUCAAAAGGUUUUGUUUAAAAAUAAAUUUAUAGGAUGUCAAAUCAAGGUGUAGCUAUGAAAAAGUUAGAAGUGGGUUACAUUCAUUUUUAUGACGAAUAAUUUUUUGUAAGAUAAGUUGGAAGUUGGAUUUGGAAGUAAAUUUACUACUGAUAAAAAUUGAAGUUU
rnacentral:rRNA from 1 species